UACGGGAGGCAGCAGUGGGGAAUAUUGCACAAUGGGCGCAAGCCUGAUGCAGCCAUGCCGCGUGUAUGAAGAAGGCCUUCGGGUUGUAAAGUACUUUCAGUCGUGAGGAAGGUGUUAAGGUUAAUAACCUUAGCAAUUGACGUUAGCGACAGAAGAAGCACCGGCUAACUCCGUGCCAGCAGCCGCGGUAAUACGGAGGGUGCGAGCGUUAAUCGGAAUUACUGGGCGUAAAGGGCACGCAGGCGGUUAAUUAAGUUGGAUGUGAAAUCCCCUGGCUUAACCUGGGAAUGGCAUUCAAGACUGGUUAGCUAGAGUCUUGUAGAGGGGGUAGAAUUCCAUGUGUAGCGGUGAAAUGCGUAGAGAUGUGGAGGAAUACCGGUGGCGAAGGCGGCCCCCUGGGACAAAGACUGACGCUCAUGUGCGAAAGCGUGGGGAGCAAACAGGGAUUAGAUACC
rnacentral:rRNA from 1 species